rnacentral:rRNA from 1 species
ANACCUUNCAGUNAUGCAGUUAACACAUUAAAGUGUACCGCCUGGGGAGUACGGUCGCAAGAUUAAAACUCAAAGGAAUAGANCGGGGACCCGCACAAGCGGUGGAGCAUGUGGUUUAAUUCGACGAUACGCGAAGAACCUUACCUGGACUUGACAUAGAAAGAAUAACGCAGAGAUGUGAUAGUGCUUGCUUGCAAGAACUUUCAUACAGGUGCUGCACGGCUGUCGUCAGCUCGUGUCGUGAGAUGUUGGGUUAAGUCCCGCAACGAGCGCAACCCUCGUCGUUAGUUGCUAACAGUUCGGCUGAGAACUCUAACGAGACUGCCUGGGUAACCAGGAGGAAGGUGAGGACGACGUCAAGUCAUCAUGGCCCUUACGUCCAGGGCUACACACGUGCUACAAUGGGGCAUACAAAGAGCCGCGAUACCGUGAGGUGGAGCAAAUCUCAAAAAUGCCUCCCAGUUCGGAUAGUAGUCUGCAACUCGACUACUUGAAGUUGGAAUCGCUAGUAAUCGUAGAUCAGCAAUGCUACGGUGAAUACGUUCCCGGGUCUUGUACUCACCGCCCGUCACACCAUGGGAGUUGAACUCAUUCGAAGCGGGGAUGCUAAAGUAGCUACCCUCCACAGUGGAUUCAGCGACCUGGGNUGAAGUCGUAAACAAGGUAA